GACUGAUCCCAGCUAACAUUAUCUUUAUAUCACAGCCAGGUAAUAGACUGAUCCCUACUAGCAUCAUCUUUAAAUCACAGCCAGGUAAUAGACUGAUCCCUACUAGCAUCAUCUUUAAAUCACAGCCAGGUAAUAGACUGAUCCCUGCUAACAUUAUCUUUAUAUCACAGCCAGGUAAUAGACUGAUCCCUGCUAGCAUCAUUUUGAAAUCACAGCCAGGUCGUAGACUGAUCCCUGCUAACAUUAUCUAUAAAUGACAGCCAGGUAAUAGACUGAUCCCAGCAAACAUCUAUAAAUGACAGCCAGGUAAUAAACUGAUCCCAGGUAACAUUAUCUUUAAAUCACAGCCAGGUAGUAGACUGAUCCCUGCUAACAUUAUCUUUAAAUCACAGCCAGGUAAUAGACUGAUCCCAGCAAACAUCUAUAAAUGACAGCCAGGUAAUAAACUGAUCCCAGGUAACAUCAUCUUUACAUCACAGCCAGGUAAUAGACUGAUCCCAGCUAACA